ACAGGCCGACAUGGAUCCAUCACAUAUCGCAGACAUAGAUGUAGCUUGCGACACUUCUACCGAGCAGACGGAUGUUCGGGGAAAGGGAAAGGGAGUUGCAGUACCUGAGAACCUUUCUAGGGAUAUGGAAUCAUUAGGGUUAAGCAAUGAUGACCCUGAAGAUCCCACAGACCUUAUGAAAUUCUUUAAAAUGCCUCUUAUAAAAAUUAGAAAAGAGAUUGUUGCUUUGGCAGUCGUGCAUCCUAUCACUGAUGAGAUAUGAGAGAGGGUGGAAUUAUUGCUUCGGACAACAGAAAACUUGCAACAAUUUAUCCGCCCUCAUCAAAGUCGUUCCCAUGAUCAGGGUGUUGCAGGAUCUUCAGGUG